rnacentral:rRNA from 1 species
GCUCUUUCGCAAGGGAAGAAACGUUACAGUCUAAUAAACUGUGAUAAUGACGGUACCUUGAUAAGAAGCACCGGCUAACUACGUGCCAGCAGCCGCGGUAAUACGUAGGGUGCGAGCGUUAAUCGGAAUUACUGGGCGUAAAGCGUGCGCAGGCGGUUUUGUAAGUCAGAUGUGAAAUCCCCGAGCUCAACUUGGGAACUGCGUUUGAAACUACAAGGCUAGAGUAUGGUAGAGGGGGGUAGAAUUCCACGUGUAGCAGUGAAAUGCGUAGAGAUGUGGAGGAAUACCAAUGGCGAAGGCAGCCCCCUGGACUAAUACUGACGCUCAUGCACGAAAGCGUGGGGAGCAAACAGGAUUAGAUACCCUGGUAGUCCACGCCCU